CAUUAACUACCAGCUGCGAGGCGAAGGAGAGGGGUGCUACAGGUGUUCUUUGACUGCCCAAGGGAAAAUUUCAACGACGGGGUGAGUAAAAUAAGGGUAGCAGGAGGGUAUACCUACCUACAGACGGUAUGCUGCGAGUAUGACGACGGUCACGGAAGGUAAAUUUAGGAAGCCCAAAGAAGAGCCGACGGAACCCUAGCUCGACGACAAAAGAAUGACUUCUAAUGAGGGGUGUGUGAGAGGUUAUACUUCUCAUGAAGGGUCCGUGCGAGGUUAGAUUUCCGUGUCACUUCUCAAAGGACCACAGUGUACGAAUGAGGUUUAUAGUGUAUAUGUUCACACAUUUCUGAUAGAUCGUGUACGAGUAGCCACGAAGGCAGCCUGACGCGUAGUACCCCAGCUUCGGAGGACUAGCUCCACGUACGAAGUUCUAUUUAGUUGGAACGCCAGUACCACUACAACUUCAGAGGGAAGUAGAGGUAGACUACGUAGUGUGUCGACCGAGAUGCCAAUAAUACUACAAAAGACAAAGAGGUAGAGCGACGGUCGAACGUCGGAUUCGAAAUGUAUUACGUCUUCGUACGUAUCAACGCUUAGUCUCUUCCGUUUUUAUUAUUAUUAGUCUCCACGGAUCCAUAUGAUAGUACUUUCUGUUGGGUUUUAUUUAUCGUCAUACAACGUGUUUUAACAAGGCGACUCUUCUGAUUUUUCACUCAGAGAACUAAAUAUCCACUGGGAAAAUAAUAUCUUUUAGUCUAAUACACAUUUGGGUGCAAAAUAUAUUAAAAAGUUACCUUACGUGUUGUUAUCAAAGAUG
rnacentral:rRNA from 1 species